AAGAAGGUAAGUAAGGGCGCAUGGCGGAUGCCUUGGCUCUCAGAGGCGAUGAAGGACGUGAUAAGCUGCGAUAAGCUUCGGGUAGGUGCAAAUAACCUUUUAUCCGGAGAUUUCCGAAUGGGGCAACCCAGUGUUAUGAAGUAACAUUAUUCCUGCUUGCAGGAAAGCUAACCCAGUGAACUGAAACAUCUAAGUAACUGGAGGAAUAGAAAACAAUAGUGAUUCCCUUAGUAGCGGCGAGCGAAAGGGGAAUAGCCCAAAUCUCAGC
rnacentral:rRNA from 1 species